UUUGUCACUUUCCAACCUCAUAGAGAACUGAAACGCCACUAGGCGUGAUGGCGUCGAGAGAGGUUGGGGGGGGGGGGCAUGGAUUCAAUCCUCAUGAUUCUAACAUUUGUGCCAUUUACUUAAGCUGAUCAAGCCAAUGAUGCUUAGGUGGUCUUUUCGGAUGAUCAGCCACACUAGGACUAAGAUACGGCCCAGACUCCCACGGGGGGCAGAAGUGGGGAAUCAUGGAUAAUGGGCAAAAACCCGAUCAU
rnacentral:ncRNA from 1 species